UGAUUAAUCCUUAAAAUAAUUUACCCAAAAAGAAUUAUAUAGCAAUGCUAGGAUCCAUAUUUGACUUUAUGGUGUGUAAAAGAUGUCGUAAACACACCACAAAGUUAUUUAGGUAGGCAAUACUCUUUGCCAGUUUUAGUCUCUAUGAAAUUUCUAGAUCUUUUGAAAUUCUUUAACUAUCAAUAACAUGUUAAUCUCAGAUUAUGCUCAUCUCAAUUCUAUGACACAUAUGUCAUGGAUCAUACAAUAAACAAUGAAUCAACCAUGCAAAAUCACAUCAUCCUCGAUUCAAAUUACUCUCACGUUAACGUGUUAGUAAACCACACAUACUCCGUCAAAAUAAUUAUUUCUCAUGAGUUCCACAUCAUUUUCAACUUAUAUUCUCACAUUGAGGUGUUGGUUAAACACACACGCACCGUCAAUAGAAUAUAAAGAGAAUGUGCAUUUUCAUGGGUAACCUAUGAUUCACACUUUGAUUAUAUAAAACGAUAUUUUUUUAAUACUUUUAAGUUGGUACUUUUAGCUUGAAUAUUUUCCUAUCAAACCCUUUUUGUAACUCUACUCUCAAAAUGUAAAGAGGUGGUAAGGUGGUAAGCAGUAAGCUGUUAAAACCCAACCUUAUUAUGAAUAAAAGAUGUCGUAAACACACCACAAAGUUAUUUAGGUUGGCAAUACUCUUUGCCAGUUUUAGUCUCUAUGAAAUUUCUAGAUCUUUUGAAAUUCAUUAACUAUCAAUAACAUGUUAAUCUCAGAUUAUGCUUAUCUCAAUUCUAUGACACAUAUGUCAUGGAUCAUAAAAUAAACGAUGAAUCAACCAUGCAAAAUCACAUCAUCCUUGAUUCAAAUUACACUCACAUUAACGUGCUAGUAAACCACACAUACUCCGUCAAAAUAACUAAUUCUCAUGAGUUCCACAUCAUUUUCAACUUAUACUCUCACAUUGAGGUGUUGGUUAAACACACACGCUCCGUCAAUAGAAUAUAAAGAGAAUGUGCAUUUUCAUGGGUAACAUAUGAUUCACACUUUGAUUAUAUAAAACGAUAUUUUUUAAAUACUUUUAAGUUGGUACUUUUAGCUUGAAUAUUUUCUUAUCAAACCCUUUUCGUAACUCUAUUCUCAAAAUGUAAAGAGGUGGUAAGGUGGUAAGCAGUAAGCUAUUAAAACCCAACCAUAUUAUGAAUAGAAGAGACCUCCUUAAACCUAUCUAUUAACAUUAGAGUAGGUAAACCUGGUCAUGAUAAGAUUUAAAAUAUUUUAUUUAAACAUGUGAGACACAUGUUGUAAUUUUCUUAUACAUAUAUAUAAACUCUUAAUACAUAUACAAGUAAAUUUAAAUAUUUUAAAUUUAGUGCCUUUUAUCAAUUUUAAUUUAUAUGUGAGGACACAAUGUAAAUAAUUAAUUUAAAUUUUAAAUAUUCUAAUUUAUAAAUCGCUAUUAUAAAUAAUAUUCAAAUUUAAUUCAAAUAUUCAAAGUUAAAUCACUUAUUAAAAUAAUAUUAAAUUUUAAGAAGUAUAUCUAAUAAUUUGAAAAAUAAACUAAUUUGUUUUACAUGCAGAACAUGUUAGGAAACUUGUCAAGCAAGUAAAAUAUCAACCCUAUUUUUCGAAAAUAAGGUUAAUUGAUAAACUCUUUAUUAAUUUUUAUUAAAAAAAUUCUAAGAUUAUCUAAUGUUGAUACAUGAAAGUGAACCUCUAGCAAUCCGAAGUCAACCCAUUCCAAAGUGAUGUGCAUUCUGAGGAGUGAUUAGUUUCGAAAUGUAACUACUUAUGAAAUAAAGACAUGUUGGAGAAACACAUUGUAUUCAGUGCUAUUUUUAGUUUGUAUUUGCAUUUAAUGUUUCUUGUAUUUUAAUUCAUGUUUUAUUGUAAAGUUCAUGGGACAAGAUCGAGAAAAUCCUGUGUGUCAGCUUUUUGACUUUUCAGCUUUACAAUCUCCAUGCAGUCUUGUAGUUUGUCUUUUUAUCACUCCUUAUCUAUGUAAGGAGAUGUAAUCUUCAUGCAUGAUAUAGAGAAAUAGAAAGAACAACCUUCUCUUUCACUUCAAUACCUAGUAUCUUUCAUGUCAAAUCAUUCUCUAUAUCAUUCUCACUGUUCUUAAAAUCUCUUUACAUUGUUCAUACUCAUUUUCUUACAUGAAUACUUUGUUGAAUUUCUUACUUUAAGACAAGACUGGUUUACUAGACUUAACUGGAUGUUUAAUAUUAGUAGCAAACAUUGAUAUUAAGUUAAUUCAAGGUCUGAGUUUUCAAACCUUUUCCGCACACAUAUUCUUGCACUUUCAAUUGAUAUUAGAGCCUAAGUAGUUUUCCUUUUAAUCCAUAAGAACAUAUUAUAUUUGAUUUAAGAUUACCUUGGUAUCUCAAUCAUUUCUUUGUUCAAGAUAAAAGUUAUUCUAUAUACCACUUCAGAUCUAAUACUUUAACUUCAAUGGUUGCUUCUAAUCCAUCUCAACAAAUGUAUUCAAUGCAAAUAGCAAAUAGCGUGGGUUUCCCAACCUGUGCCCCAUUUCUAGUUGUUGAAGAGUAUGAUCACUGGAAAGUUAGAAUGGAGAGAUUUUUAGUUAGUAAGGAAAAUGUGAAGAGAUAUGGAGAUCUGUGAAAGAAGGUCCUCACGUUCUCGUAAGACAAGUGGUUAGAGAUGAUACUGCUAUUCUCAUGGGUCAUGAAGAAGAACGUCCAACGCCUCUAACUGCAUUACAUAUCAAAAAGAUUCAUGCAAAUCAUAUUUUCGUUUUCAGAAAUCAUGUUUGGUGUUCCUCCCUCUCUCUUUGAGCACAUAAAAUUGUGCAAAUUUGCCAAAGAGAUUUGGGAUACACUUCAAGACUUGUUCAAAGGUUCUAAGAACAUGAAGGAUAAGCAUUUGACAUCUUUCAUAAACUACUUUGAUACCAUCACCACAACUCCUGGUGAAUAUGUAGCCUCUGCAUCAAAUCAGUACAGGAUUGUUGUAAACUUGACUGCACACGGAAUAGUCAAAACUCCACUUGAGUACAAUCUAAAGUUCAUCAAUAGCCUCGGAAAAGGAUAGGUGAAUGUUAAGUCAUGUCUUCAAUGUAAUGGAUCUCUGAAGAAACUGAAGCUUUAUCAGAUAUUUGGCGAACUGCAAGGCUAUGAAUCUAACGUUGCUCAAACAUUAAGAGAACUUUCAUGAGUUCCACUCGCCUUACUUAGUUCUGUUAACCCACUAAUUACAAAUCCAUCUAUUUCAAAUCCUUUUGGAACUAUCCAACCUGUUUCACUUGUUCAAUCAACACUUCCUACUCCACCUAUCCCACGUGUUCCGAACCAUUCAUUUGAAGAAAAUCUUGAUCUCGAUUUAGCUGAUUAUGAACUUCGCUUCCAACAAGAAUUCACAUUUCUGUAUACGAAGUACAAACAUCCAUUGAAUCCAAGUCAUAAAACGUUUCAAAACUGAUUUCAAGCUCCUCGUUAAAUAAAUCCUCAACCUUUCACUAAACCUACAUAAAAUCCACCGGCAUACUGACCCAACAUCCCAAAUCACUAUUCAGAACCCCAGGAAGUUCCAAAACCAGUCAACCUCAAGAUUGUUUGUCACAAAUGUGGUCUCGGAAACCACUUUGCAAAGGACUGUUUGGCUGAAAUUUCCCAAAAACCAAAGAUAAAAGACUCUGCUAAUGUUGAUGGGUACUAAUCUUCUGGUGAUGAGGGUGAAGAAAUAUCUGCAAGAAACAUGUGUCUUAUGGCUAGAAAUUCAAUUAAAUGUGAUGAAGGAUACUAGUCUUUUGGUUCAAAAGCAGAUGAAGAAGAUGUUGAGCCAAAUUUUUGUUACAUGGUAACAAAUGGUCCAUCAGAGAGAAGCAUCAUCCAGCAGGUAAAAUCCAUGAUCACUAACAAUAAUUUUGAGUUUCUCCCUAGAAAGAACUAAUAUCAGUGAGAAUUUGGAGUGAGGUGGUGGCAAAGGAGGAGGAUGAGGAAGGUUGUUGUCAUUACUGGAAGAAACAUCUACUAAAAAAGUUUUAAUUAGUUUGAUUAAUCCUUAAAAUAAUUUAGCCAAAAAGAAUUAUAUAGCAAUGCUAGGAUCCAUAUUUGAAUUUAUGGUGUGUAAAAGAUGUCGUAAACACACCACAAAGUUAUUUAGGUAGGCAAUACUCUUUGCCAGUUUUAGUCUCUAUGAAAUUUCUAGAUCUUUUGAAAUUCUUUAACUAUCAAUAACAUGUUAAUCUCAGAUUAUGCUCAUCUCAAUUCUAUGACACAUAUGUCAUGGAUCAUACAAUAAACAAUGAAUCAACCAUGCAAAAUCACAUCAUCCUCGAUUCAAAUUACUCUCACGUUAACGUGUUAGUAAACCACACAUACUCCGUCAAAAUAAUUAUUUCUCAUGAGUUCCACAUCAUUUUCAACUUAUAUUCUCACAUUGAGGUGUUGGUUAAACACACACGCACCGUCAAUAGAAUAUAAAGAGAAUGCGCAUUUUCAUGGGUAACCUAUGAUUCACACUUUGAUUAUAUAAAACGAUA
rnacentral:lncRNA from 1 species